GCAAGUCUAAGUAUAAGUUAUUCUGAAGACGAAACUGCGAAUGGCUCGGUAAAACAGCAAUAAUUUCUUCGAUGAUGAGUUUACUCACGGAUAACCGUAGUAAUUCUAGAGCUAAUACGUGCUGAGAAAAAAUGGGGCUCGCUCCAUUGUGCCGUUUAGAUAACAACACCAACAUUUGGUGAUUCAUAAUCGUCUUUCUGAUCGCUUCUAGCGACGCAUCGUUCAAAUUUCUGACCUAUCAACUUUCGAUGGUAAGGUAGUGUCUUACCAUGGUGGCAACGGGUAACGGACCGUGGGUGCGGGACUCCGGAGAGGGAGCCUGAGAAACGGCUACCACAUCCAAGGAAGGCAGCAGGCGCGCAACUUGCCCAAUCCAGACUCUGGGAGGCAGUGACAAGAAAUAUCAAUAGGGGAUCCUAUGGGUCUUCUAAUUGGAAUGAGAACAAGCUAAACAGCUUAUCGAGAAUCCAGCAGAGGGCAAGUCUGGUGCCAGCAGCCGCGGUAAUUCCAGCUCUGUAAGCGUAUACCAAAGUUGUUGCAGUUAAAACGCUCGUAGUCGGAACUUGGCCGUGUCGGAUAUGCGCACGUCGUGUGCGCGUAUUGCAGAUAUGGCUUUUGUGGUUUUCGCGUACGAUGAGGCACGUUUAUUCGUGAACGUCGGCACGCAGCCACUCUUUACUGUGAGAAAAUCAGAGUGCUCAAAGCAGGCAUUUGCCGUGAAUGUAUUAGCAUGGAAUAAUAGAAUAGGACUCGGUUCUAUUUUGUUGGUUUGUUGGGGCUGAGUAAUGAUUAAGAGGGACAGUUGGGGGCAUUUGUAUUUCGGCGCUAGAGGUGAAAUUCUUAGAUUGCCGAAAGACAAACUGCUGCGAAAGCGUCUGCCAAGGAUGUUUUCAUUGAUCAAGAACGAAAGUAAGGGGAUCGAAGACGAUCAGAUACCGUCGUAGUCUUUACUAUAAACGAUGAGGACUGGGGAUCGGGCGAGGAAUUACGAUGACCCGCCCGGCACCCUUCGAGAAAUCAAAGUGUUUGCUUUCUGGGGGGAGUAUGGUCGCAAGGCUGAAACUUAAAGGAAUUGACGGAAGGGCAUCACCGGGUGUGGAGCCUGCGGCUUAAUUUGACUCAACACGGGAAAACUUACCAGGUCAGGACAUAGUGAGGAUGACA
rnacentral:rRNA from 1 species